GACAGAGGGGGCAAGCGUUGCUCGGAAUCACUGGGCGUAAAGGGCGCGUAGGCGGGACGCCAAGUCGGUCGUGAAAUCUCCGGGCUCAACCCGGAGGAGUCGGCCGAAACUGGUGUUCUUGAGGGAGGCAGAGGAGUCUGGAAUUCUCGGUGUAGCGGUGAAAUGCGUAGAUAUCGAGAGGAACACCUGCGGCGAAGGCGGGUUGCUGGGCUGACACUGACGCUGAGGCGCGAAAGCUAGGGGAGCGAACGGG
rnacentral:rRNA from 1 species